rnacentral:rRNA from 1 species
CUACGUGCCAGCAGCCGCGGUAAUACGUAUGUCACAAGCGUUAUCCGGAUUUAUUGGGCGUAAAGCGCGUCUAGGUGGUUAUGUAAGUCUGAUGUGAAAAUGCAGGGCUCAACUCUGUAUUGCGUUGGAAACUGCAUGACUAGAGUACUGGAGAGGUAAGCGGAACUACAAGUGUAGAGGUGAAAUUCGUAGAUAUUUGUAGGAAUGCCGAUGGGGAAGCCAGCUUACUGGACAGAUACUGACGCUAAAGCGCGAAAGCGUGGGUAGCAAACAGGAUUAGAUACCCUGGUAGUCCACGCCGUAAACGAUGAUUACUAGGUGUUGGGGGUCGAACCUCAGCGCCCAAGCUAACGCGAUAAGUAAUCCGCCUGGGGAGUACGUACGCAAGUAUGAAACUCAAAGGAAUUGACGGGGACCCGCACAAGCGGUGGAGCAUGUGGUUUAAUUCGACGCAACGCGAGGAACCUUACCAGCGUUUGACA